UACGUAGGGUGCGAGCGUUGUCCGGAAUUAUUGGGCGUAAAGGGCUCGUAGGCGGUUUGUCGCGUCGGGAGUGAAAACACCGGGCUUAACUCGGUGCUUGCUUUCGAUACGGGCAGACUAGAGGCAUGCAGGGGAGAACGGAAUUCCUGGUGUAGCGGUGAAAUGCGCAGAUAUCGUAAGGAAGACCAGUGGCGAAGGCGGGUCUCCUGGACAGUUCCUGACGC
rnacentral:rRNA from 1 species